rnacentral:rRNA from 1 species
UACAGAGGGGGCAAGCGUUAUUCGGAAUUAUUGGGCGUAAAGGGCGCGUAGGCGGCUUGGCAAGUGGAUGGUGAAAUCCCUCGGCUUAACCGAGGAACUGUCGUCCAAACUGCUUCGCUUGAGACCGGGAGAGGUGAGUGGAAUUCCCAGUGUAGCGGUGAAAUGCGUAGAUAUUGGGAGGAACACCAGUGGCGAAGGCGGCUCACUGGACCGGUUCUGACGCUGAGGCGCGAAAGCGUGGGGAGCAAACGGG